UACGAAGGGGGCUAGCGUUGUUCGGAUUUACUGGGCGUAAAGCGCACGUAGGCGGAUCGUUAAGUCGGGGGUGAAAUCCUGGGGCUCAACCCCAGAACUGCCUUCGAUACUGGCGAUCUCGAGUCCGGAAGAGGUGAGUGGAACUCCUAGUGUAGAGGUGGAAUUCGUAGAUAUUAGGAAGAACACCAGUGGCGAAGGCGGCUCACUGGUCCGGUACUGACGCUGAGGUGCGAAAGCGUGGGGAGCAAACGGG
rnacentral:rRNA from 1 species